rfam:Aphanizomenon flos-aquae 2012/KM/D3 mira_2_len_T:14923, whole genome shotgun sequence.
CUCUCACUACGAUAAGUAGGUAAGGUCACGGGCAGAACACCCGUUAAUAGGCUCUAAGUGGAAGUACAGUAAUGUAUGAAGCUGAGGGGUACUAAUAGACCGAGGGCUUGACCUC